GGGGCCUCGCGGCGCCUCCCCGGUCUCUCCGGCCGCCGCUCGCGCUCCGGGACGGGGGUGUCCCGCGGUUCCCUCAGCGACGACACCGCGGAGGGAAAAAUCCAGCCCGAGGCCGAGGCAGCAAACUCGAACUUGGGUCGUCCGCGUAGCCCUACGUCUUGAAGCUAAUUUUCAUCGCUUCCUGGUGAUCGAGGAGGAUGGAUGGCUGCGAAACCUUCACCUAUUUUGUCCAGGAAGAAGUGCUGUGCUGCAGGACUGUGGGCGGCAUGAGUUCAGACAUCACGCCUCCAUGCCAAGCUAUGGGGUGUUUCUGGGACAAUUGGCACGAAUGCCACAGGACUUGAGGCAAAAGGAAACCAUUCCACAAACAGAGAAAUCUUGAACCUGAUCGUUGUUGGCUGCAUGUGUAUGGUGUGUCUGGGACAGUUGGCACAAAUGCCUCAGGAUUGGAGAAAAAGAAAACCAUACCAGAGAAAUUAUGAACUUAACUGUCGUUGGCCACAUGUGUAUGAUUGGGCCACACUGUCCAUGAUGGUAAUAAGAAAUACUGAGGACUGCGAUUGGAUUCUGGAAAUGUUUUUUGCGGCUUUUGAGUGCAGCAAACACGAACUAGGAUCAUCAAUGUAGGCUUCAGCCUUACAGCUAAUUUUCAUCGCUUCCUGAUGUUCAAUGAGGAUAGAUGUCUGGCACCCUGUCUUAUUUUGUCCAGGAAGAAGUGGUGCAUGACUGAGGAUAGCACGAGUUCAGACAUAAAGCCGCCAAGCUGUGGGGGUACGCGUGCCUUCUUUCGCCCAGGUUAAUCCACACAGACUAAUGAAAGUGAGGCAUCUGGAGCCGCUUUGGUACAAAUCAGAUGUUGCUAUUAAAAGCUAUGAUUGGACAGUGGUGACAGAUGAAAAAAGCUUUGAAGAAAGGAGUUGAAGUUCUGAGAUCAAGAUGUAUUGUGGAAAAUGUUGAUGAAAAGCAUUCCACCUUUUGUCUUUGCUAUGUGAUAGGGAAGUAUGUGUGUGAAUCUGUUAACACAAUGGUUAUUUCCUUGAUUCAAAAAUAAAACUAUUUUAAUCAAA